UGGGGAAUAUUGCACAAUGGAGGGAACUCUGAUGCAGCGACGCCGCGUGAACGAAGAAGGCUUUCGAGUCGUAAAGUUCUUUUAUAUGGGAAGAUAAUGACGGUACCAUAAGAAGAAGCCCCGGCUAACUACGUGCCAGCAGCCGCGGUAAUACGUAGGGGGCUAGCGUUGUCCGGAAUCACUGGGCGUAAAGGGUUCGCAGGCGGAAAUGCAAGUCAGGUGUAAAAGGCAGUAGCUUAACUACUGUAAGCAUUUGAAACUGCAUAUCUUGAGAAGAGUAGAGGUAAGUGGAAUUUUUAGUGUAGCAGUGAAAUGCGUAGAUAUUAAAAAGAAUACCGGUGGCGAAGGCGACUUACUGGGCUCAUUCUGACGCUGAGGAACGAAAGCGUGGGUAGCAAACAGG
rnacentral:rRNA from 1 species